GACAGAGGGUGCGAACGUUGUUCGGAAUUACUGGGCGUAAAGCGCAUGUAGGCGGCAGCGCAAGUCGGGCGUGAAAUCCCACGGCUCAACCGUGGAAGUGCACUCGAAACUGCGCAGCUAGAGUCCUGGAGAGGAAGGUGGAAUGCUUGGUGUAGAGGUGAAAUUCGUAGAUAUUCGGAAGAACACCAGUGGCGAAGGCGACUAACUGGACAUGUAUUGACGCUGAGGUGCGAAAGCGUGGGGAGCAAACAGG
rnacentral:rRNA from 1 species